UACAGAGGGUGCAAGCGUUAAUCGGAAUCAUUGGGCGUAAAGAGCGCGCAGGCGGCUUGGCAAGUCGGGUGUGAAAUCCCGGGGCUCAACCCCGUGACUGCAUUCGAUACUGUCAGGCUAGAGGUAGGUAGGGGAGAUCGGAAUUCCUGGUGUAGCGGUGAAAUGCGCAGAUAUCAGGAGGAACACCGGUGGCGAAGGCGGAUCUCUGGGCCUUACCUGACGCUCAGGCGCGAAAGCUAGGGGAGCGAACGGG
rnacentral:rRNA from 1 species